rnacentral:rRNA from 1 species
UGGGGAAUAUUGCACAAUGGGCGCAAGCCUGAUGCAGCCAUGCCGCGUGUGUGAAGAAGGCCUUCGGGUUGUAAAGCACUUUCAGUCGUGAGGAAGGUGGUAGUGUUAAUAGCACUAUCAUUUGACGUUAGCGACAGAAGAAGCACCGGCUAACUCCGUGCCAGCAGCCGCGGUAAUACGGAGGGUGCGAGCGUUAAUCGGAAUUACUGGGCGUAAAGCGCAUGCAGGUGGUUUGUUAAGUCAGAUGUGAAAGCCCGGGGCUCAACCUCGGAAUAGCAUUUGAAACUGGCAGACUAGAGUACUGUAGAGGGGGGUAGAAUUUCAGGUGUAGCGGUGAAAUGCGUAGAGAUCUGAAGGAAUACCGGUGGCGAAGGCGGCCCCCUGGACAGAUACUGACACUCAGAUGCGAAAGCGUGGGGAGCAAACAGGAUUAGAUACCCCCGUAGUCC